UGAGUCAGCGAGCAGAGAUUUAGAAUUCUCUCUCUCUUUCACUGUCUUUGAAGGCAUUUGAGUUUCGGACUCUGAGGGAGGGGUGGUGGGUAAAAAGGGAAGAGGUCCUCCUUUUUGGUUGCUGUUAAAUUAUUCACAUUCCCGGUCCAACCAUCCCAAAGCAGAGACGGAACUGGCUGACUGGCUGUAGCUGCUACCAUUAGCAUUCAUCCGAUAUGCAGUUUGUCUGUUUGCUAACAUUCCUCAUUCAAAUACUUUUUAACUGCCAGAUGGGGAUGACCAUGCGCAUCCCAGGCACGAACAUGGCCUCUUAUUGUGGCGGGGCCCAGCCCGGUGAUAGACCCGGACCCAGACAGACUAGGGGGUGACAGACAGGAAGACUGCCCAGACAUGAUUCACUGAGCUGGAGGGAGACAGCUCCCUCUCAUCCGUCUCUGGUUCUCACCGGGAGUCUGAAUCUAACUAACUGGUUGACUGUGGCUGCCCUCUGGCUGUCCCUCUCUACAGGAUAACUACACUAUGUUCUGGAUCUACUACCCUGGUGGAUAAUAAGGCCUGUCUGGAUUUCAACACCCUGGAUAUUGCAUCCAUAGUUGGUGUGUGUCUACCCAUAUCCGAUUUGAGGUUGAUUGGAUCUGGUGGUGAUGUGUAGAGACGGAACAGACCCUGGAUUAAAGACAGACCUCCCCCUCCGCCUCGUGUCAUUGGAGGCCAGCCGGCUUAUACCGUCCAUCGGAUACUGGAUUCCCGCCGGGUGCAGCGGUCCUGGCAGUAUCUGGUGGACUGGGAAGGCUACGGUCCCGAGGAGCGCUCCUGGGUUCCUGCCAAAGACAUCCUGGACCCUGACCUCAUUCGUCAGUUCAGGGCCCUCCACCCUGAGAGAGCUGGUAGGAACGUCAGGAGCCGUUCCUAGGGGGGGGAUUCUGUCAGGAUUUGGCCAGGGUUGUUCCGGGUUUUGGUCACUAGAUGCCCCCAUUGUGCUUUUUGACCUUAUGUUUUUUCCCUUGUUCCCCAUUAUUAUUUGCACCUGUGCCUCGUUUUUCCUGAUUGUAUUUAAACCCUUAGUUUCCCUCAGUUCUGUGCUAUGUGUUUGUAUGUUAGCACCCAGCCCUAGUGUUUUCUUGUCGAUUCCGGUGGAUGCUCUUGUGGAAUUCUGUUUUUGUUUUUGAGUAUCUCUUGAGGCUUUUUUGUGCUAUUCCUACCACCUUUUGGAUUUGCCAUUUUUGUAUUGAAGGACUUCUCCUUUUUACUUUAUUAAAUACACCGUCUUAAGUA